UACGAAGGGGGCUAGCGUUGUUCGGAUUUACUGGGCGUAAAGCGCACGUAGGCGGAUCGUUAAGUCGGGGGUGAAAUCCUGGAGCUCAACUCCAGAACUGCCUUCGAUACUGGCGAUCUUGAGUCCGGAAGAGGUGAGUGGAACUCCUAGUGUAGAGGUGAAAUUCGUAGAUAUUAGGAAGAACACCGGUGGCGAAGGCGGCCCACUGGCUCGAUACUGACGCUGAGGUGCGAAAGCGUGGGGAGCAAACAGG
rnacentral:rRNA from 1 species